UACUAGAGUAGCACUCGCAUAUCAAUAAGCGGAGGAAAAGAAACUAACAAGGAUUCCCCUAGUAACGGCGAGUGAAGCGGGAAGAGCUCAAAUUUGAAAUCUUAAAGGUUUCCCUUUACGAAUUGUAGUUUAAAGAAGUGUUUUCUGUUGAGGUUUUGGUAAAAGUUCUUUGGAAUAGGACAUCAUAGAGGGUGAGAAUCCCGUAUUUGACCUUUACUUUCAACUUUGUGAUACACUUUCAAAGAGUCGGAUUGUUUGGGAAUGCAGUCCAAAAUGGGUGGUAAAUUUCAUCUAAAGCUAAAUAUUGGCGAGAGACCGGUAGCGAACAAGUACCGUGAGGGAAAGAUGAAAAGAACUUUGAAAAGAGAGUUAAACAGUACGUGAAAUUGUCAAAAGGGAAGCGUUUGACACCAGUGUUGUUUUUCUGAAAAUCAAUUAAAGAACUGUUUAUGCUAAGCUGUUUAGACUUUAUCAGCUAUCUGUUUAGUUUUGAGCUUUUCUUUAAUGCACUUUUCAGUUAACAAGUCAACAUCAAUUUCUUUUGCUGUAAAAAAGCUUGAGGAAGGUGGCUUGAGAUUCGUCUUAAGUGUUUAUAGCCUCUUGCCUAUGCAGUCGGAGAGAUUGAGGUCUGCAGCGUAGAUCCUUCGGGGCUAAAUGCAUUUGUGCUAAGUUAUAGCAUUUUAUAGACAACUUGUUGACUAUGAUUUGUCUUGUAGCUUACUCGCUUAUGUUAUUUUACCUACGCUUAGGAUGUUGAGCGCAUGUCUCUCUCU
rnacentral:rRNA from 1 species